rnacentral:lncRNA from 10 species
GGCGGGGGAGGCUCGAGGGGCGGCGGCGGGGCCUGGGCGCGUCCCUGCAGCGUGGCGGGACGGCCCCGUUCCAGUCACCCCCGCCUCGCUGCGGUGGCCUCGGGCCUGGGCGCCCGCCUUCAGCUGCGGCGGAGCUGGCUCUGUAAAUGCCGGUGCCCGCGAGCCCUCCUGAAUGCUUGUCUGCGCCCGACGAGCGCGGCCUGUCCCGAAGCUGUCCACUGCCACCACUCGGGCAGUGCUUGCUUUAGCCUGGCCCUUUGCAGCUGAAAGGCGUGACAUGGUGUCGGGUGGUUCGUGGGAAGUCGGGGUUUCAGGAGUCCGUGUACUUCCUUGUUUGUCUUUGUCGCUGGCCGACUUGUCUUCAUUCCAGGUGGCCAGAGCGAGUGGGGCCGGGCGUUGUCACGGAGACUGGGUGUGUUGCUGUAUUGCCCAGGCUGGUGUGGAACUCCUGGCCUCAAGCGAUCCUCCCACCCCAGCCUCCCAA